rnacentral:rRNA from 1 species
CCGUUGCAAGGGACUCCGAAGAGCUGUGGCAAGGGGUGAAAAGCCAAUCUAACCUGGAGAUAGCUGGUCUUCUGCGAAACCCGUUUUAGCGGGUCGCCCAUUUAUUGAAAUUAAAUUCGUUACUAGACGGUACGGCACUGGAAGCCACGCAGCUUUUGCUGCAUAAUCGGGGGGCUGUCAUGGCUCUAUCGAUGGCUUCUAACCCCGGAAAUGUAUAGUAUACAAUGAUGGGCAAUCAGACGUAUCGUGAUAAGGCGAUUCGUCAAAAGGGCAACAGCCCAGAACAGGUGUGAAGGUCCCUAACAAGCUACUGAGUGAACACAAGGCAGUCCUCCCCAGUGUCUCUCCACAAAGUGGGCUUGGAAGCAGCCACCUUUUAGCGAUAGGGUAACAGCUCAGUGGUCUGAGCCUCCCUGCAAAAAGGGUAUAUUGCCUGGUGAGGGCGCCAAAAAUGUAACGGGUCUAUAGUAGUUGUCUCUCUGUUCCAGCUUUGGAUAUGGAGGGAGUGGCAGUUUCUUUACUGUCUCACCGAAACCCUGUCCUAGAUGUAAAAUUCUAGGGGUAGCAGAAUACCCAGCAAAUGGAAUGAAGCUUGCUCAUUGAGCCGGUGGACAUAGCUGGGCUAAGAAUGCUGACAUGAGUAGCCUAAAAGGAGGGUAAUUCCCUCUUCGCCGAAAGCAGAAGGGUUUCAUUUGUAAGGUCUAUACCUAGAUGAUUAAAGCAGCGGCCUCUAAGGUUCAGAGUAACAAAUUAGUUCCGAUGAGUAACUCUUCUAUAGGGCAGUAACCUUCCUUAUAAGUUUACCUUCAAGUAAUUAGAGGUAUACUUCAAAGAGUAAGGUUCGGGAAAGAGCCCUACAGAAUAAAUCUUAAAACCGUACCCUAAACCGACACAGGUCUGCAAGUAGAGCAUACUAAGGCGUAGAGAUAAUCGUCUUGAAGGAACUCGGCUAAAUGACCCCGUAACUUCGGGAGAAGGGGUGCCACUAAUAAGUGGCGGCACUAAACAGGGGGGCGCGACUGUUUACUUAAAACACCGGACUCUGCUAACACUAGCGUGGAUGUAUAGAGU